UUAAAUUGAAGAGUUUGAUCAUGGCUCAGAUUGAACGCUGGCGGCAGGCCUAACACAUGCAAGUCGAACGGUAACAGGGAUCAGCUUGCUGAUUCGCUGACGAGUGGCGGACGGGUGAGUAAUGUCUGGGAAACUGCCUGAUGGAGGGGG
rnacentral:rRNA from 1 species